AGUGAACGCUGGCGGUAGGCCUAACACAUGCAAGUCGAACGGCAGCACAGGAGAGCUUGCUCUCUGGGCGGCGAGUGGCGGACGGGUGAGGAAUACAUCGGAAUCUGCCCAGUCGUGGGGGAUAACGUAGGGAAACUUACGCUAAUACCGCAUACGACCUUCGGGUGAAAGAGGGGGAUCGCAAGACCUCUCGCGAUUGGAUGAGCCGAUGUCGGAUUAGCUAGUUGGCGGGGUAAUGGCCCACCAAGGCGACGAUCCGUAGCUGGUCUGAGAGGAUGAUCAGCCACACUGGAACUGAGACACGGUCCAGACUCCUACGGGAGGCAGCAGUGGGGAAUAUUGGACAAUGGGCGCAAGCCUGAUCCAGCCAUACCGCGUGGGUGAAGAAGGCCUUCGGGUUGUAAAGCCCUUUUGUUGGGAAAGAAAUCUUUCAGGCUAAUACCCUGGGAGGAUGACGGUACCCAAAGAAUAAGCACCGGCUAACUUCGUG
rnacentral:rRNA from 1 species